UACGGGGGGGGCAAGCGUUGUUCGGAAUUACUGGGCGUAAAGGGCUCGUAGGUGGCCAACUAAGUCGGACGUGAAAUCCCUCGGCUUAACCGGGGAACUGCAUCCGAUACUGGAUGGCUUGAGUUCGGGAGAGGGAUGCGGAAUUCCAGGCGUAGCGGUGAAAUGCGUAGAUAUCUGGAGGAACACCGGUGGCGAAGGCGGCAUCCUGGACCGACACUGACGCUGAGGAGCGAAAGCCAGGGGAGCAAACGGG
rnacentral:rRNA from 1 species